UCUGACGCAGGGAAGCAUCCAACAACCUGCAAACGGUGGCAUUUCCUCUGAGGCCACAAACUGCGUUUUCACUAGGCAGCGACUGCGACUCACCCGUGGCUGGACAAGGAACCAAACCCUGCCGCGUCUUCCCCCCUUCCCCAGCCGCUGUCCUCCACAGAGGGACCCCCCCGGCCAGGGGAUUGCCUCCCACCCAGACAGAACAAUUGCUCCAGCUUGCUCCAGAAAUAAAGCCUGAAGCCAUAGUCUGUUUGGUCAUCUGAUCUGAAGGAUCAUGCUAGCAGUCAUUGGUGCCAGAGUUAAGGAUCUCAUGACCCCAUAGAUAUUAGAGAGAAACAGGAGAGGCUUUCAAUGGAAAAUCAAUGUGGCUUGGCAGACGGUGAAAGAUUUUUUUACA